UACGGAGGGUGCAAGCGUUGUCCGGAUUUAUUGGGUUUAAAGGGUGCGUAGGCGGCUAUUUAAGUCAGCGGUGAAAUCCUUCAGCUUAACUGAAGACGUGCCAUUGAUACUGAAUAGCUUGAGUACUGAUGAGGUAGGCGGAAUUGAAGGUGUAGCGGUGAAAUGCAUAGAUAUCUUCAAGAACACCAAUUGCGAAGGCAGCUUACUAAGGAGUAACUGACGCUGAGGCACGAAAGCGUGGGGAUCGAACAGG
rnacentral:rRNA from 1 species